UUGUGUUUGUGAAGCCUCGCCAACACUGUGGACCCACCCACGGCAACAAUUUCAAUUUUGAGUAGAAUAUACUCUAGUGCUCUCCUUCUGCCUCUGCCAAAUCCUAACCCCCCCUCCCAGUAUUUUUGUUGCAUCAAAUUUCCGGCUUGUAAUCGCCACAAUUCUCCUCUGGUUUUUUUUUCCCUCUGUCACACUUACACAGGAUGGUGGCUGGGUUUUUUCAGGACUUGGCUUUUUCUGCAUACCUCACGAUGGUUGUUUAUUUUAUUCUGUCUAAGCUUCGUUCGAGUUCUGCUGAAGAUAUCACCAAUGUUACGUGCAAUUCAAGAAACGAUGUUUUUAUUUAUAAAGCUGGGUUUUUGGAGCAUGUUGGCGAAAAAUAUCCUGGGGUUUUUGAUAUUAGACAAGAAAGAAAUCUUGGGAAUUCUGGGUUUCAAGCAGUGAUGUCGGGAGAAGUUCACAGUGUUGAUGGUGAAGGGAACGAGCUGAAACAAGAAAAGAAAGAUAAUAACACCAACGAUGAAGCUCUUGGUGGAGUUGUCGAAAACGUACUAGUACAAGAGGCGAGGGAAGAAAAAGAUGGUGUCGGUGUCGGUGGCGGUGAGGAUAUUAAAGAAAAAGAAGAAGUUGAUGAAUGUUCUGAAUCGAGGCCAAUGCCCCAGGAAACUGAAGAAGAACUACAAAGCCUAGUUGAAGAAGCUUAUGUGGCACUGAGUUUAAGGGAAGAAUUUGAGGUGAGGGAGGGCAAGGAUGAGGAAAUUUGUGAGGUUUUGGAGAAUAAACAUAGUCAAGAAACAGAGAGGGAUGCAGCACAGAGCACUGAGAGGAGUGAGGGCAAUGAAUCUAAUGAUCAGGUGGGGGUGGAAGAAUCAGAAGAGGGGCUGUUUGAUGAUUGGGAAGGGAUAGAGAGAAGUGAGCUGGAGAAGCAUUUUGAUGCAGCAGUGGCUUUUAUUGGUUCCAAGGGCAAUGCUGAUCGUAUUGAUGGCAAUACAAGGAUGCAGCUUUACGGGCUUCACAGGGUUGCCAUGGAAGGAACUUGCCACGGGCCACAGCCAAUGGCAUUGAAGGUUUCGGCUCGUGCUAAGUGGACCAGUAGCCGUUUUUGAACUGAACUACGGUGGAUUCAUUUUGGUAUGGUAGGAAUGCUUGGCAAAAGCUGGGUGACAUGAGCUCAGAAAUGGCAAUGGAACGGUAUAUGGCCCUUCUGUCAGCAAGCAUACCUGAAUGGGAGGACAAAAUCAUAAAAAAGUGAGAGGCCUUUCUGAUGCCUGUAGCUGAUCACGCGGAGGGCUGCAGUUUCUAGUACUUUUACUCCAAUCUUGAUUUCAACAGAGGAUUUUAGGGAGAACUGCAUGUGUUUGUAAAUCAAAAACUGAUUCCGCCUUAUCCAUCAUGAUUUGAUUAUUACUAUACCUUUUAUGGUAGUAACAGUAGUAGUAUUCACUAAUUCAUUUGCUAGCUUUACAUAUUAAAUGCAAAUCAUUUGUGCUGCUAGUAUUUUUCACCAGAAA